ACAUGCCUACAACAUAACAUUAAUGCAUUGGAUCCCACUAGAAUUCCACGGUUAAGCAUGCUCAUGAUAGAGUAGUACUGGGAUGGGUGACCGCUCGAGAAUUCCUUGUGUUUUACAUGCC
rfam:Picea glauca, whole genome shotgun sequence.